GCAGCCCCGGGUUGCCCCCCGGGGGAGGUGGUUUGAGCACGGGCCCCCCCUCCUUUUCUCGGAUCCCUGGGACCGCGGGGCGGGACCGCGUCGGGUCCCUCGGCUGCGCCGCUCGGUCGGGCAGGUUCAGGCUCGCUCCGCCCAAGCCGCCGGGCCAAGUCCUGCCCGCGUCUGGGGCUGGGGCCGGUGGAAAAAAGGUGUGUGUGUGGGGGGGGGGGAUUGGAAACACGAACGGAACACGGAGCCUCCUUCCUCGGCGUGGCGCUUCCCCCAACAUCCUCACUUCGGGCUUUGAUCCCAUUAUUCAUUACUCGUCUAUUUUUGUGUUUGGGGGUCGUUUUCCAGACCUAUUGGGGCACCCAUUAGGGGCCGGGUGUUGUAAUUAGCAACGAAGGUAAGGCGGCGACUGAGAUGAAAUCCCUGCCCUUGGGGAGCGCGGGGACCGGCGGGGGAUCAGACAAACCACUAUUUAUUUAUGCAGCACACUCGCCGGGAGUGUCCCCGCGGACCGCAGGCCGCGCUCCGGAGCGCUGCGCCGCCUGCUGGACGCCGAGGAGCGUUGCAGGCACUGCGUGGCCCAGACAGACAGCAGAGAGGUGCCCAGAGACUCGACCUCCCCGUCCCUCCCCCUCCGCAGCCCCCGGCCUGCCCAGGCGGGUCUGUCUCUGGCUUUGGGCUCCCUCUCACCGCAAACCGGUGCGCUUGUGCAGGCUCACCACCGCCAGGCAAACAUCUGUGCUUAGAGCGGUCUGAGGUGUCUGUCUGUCUGUCUGUCUGCCUGUCUGGGAAAUUCCCCUCCUGGGCCUUCUCUGUGAAUUUCUGAGACAGGAUUAACCCUCUGAGUGACACACUGUCCACCCUGGGGGUACUGUCCGCCUGGAGGCGCCAUUUCCAGUCUGGACCUGGCAGAGCUACUUGAUUGCUACUCCUUUACUGGGCACCCUGUGGUUGGGGUGGCAAAACCACAGGGUCCUGGGGUGCCCAGCCCCUGAGGGUACCUUUAGACAGUGGGGUAGGGGUGGGAGGCCUGAGCCUCUGUGCCAUUCCCUCAAUGUCAUUCUGAAAAGUCAAGUGUAUGUUUCCCAUUUUA